rnacentral:rRNA from 1 species
UCUGGUUGAUCCUGCCAGUAGUCAUAUGCUUGUCUCAAAGAUUAAGCCAUGCAUGUCUAAGUAUAAGCAUUAUACGGUGAAACUGCGAAUGGCUCAUUAAAUCAGUUAUCGUUUCUUUGAUAGUACCUUUUCUACAUGGAUAACCGUGGAAAAUCUAGAGCUAAUACAUGCGACAACCCCCGACUUCGGAAGGGGCGUAUUUAUUAGAUAAAAAACCAAUGACUUCGGUCCUUUUGGUGAUUCAUAAUAACUUUUCGAAGCCUGGGUUUAUCUCGGGCUGGUUCAUUCAAGUUUCUGCCCUAUCAACUUAUACGUAGGGUAUUGGCCUACGUAGGUGACAACGGGUAACGGGGAAUAAGGGUUCGAUUCCGGAGAGGGAGCUUUACAAACGGCUACCACAUCCAAGGAAGGCAGCAGGCGCGCAAAUUACCCAAUCCUGACACAGGGAGGUAGUGACAAUAUAUAACGAUACAGGGCCCUUUGGGUCUUGUAAUUGGAAUGAGUACAAAGUAAACACCUUAACGAGGAACAAUUGGAGGGCAAGUCUGGUGCCAGCAGCCGCGGUAAUUCCAGCUCCAAUAGCGUAUAUUAAAGUUGUUGCAGUUAAAAAGCGCGUAGCUGAAGCUUGUUGGCGGUGGCCACGGUCGACUUCUAGUCUGUACUGUGUGCCGCGCCAAUUUUAACUGGGACUCACGUUCCAGUGAUUACUUUGAGAAAAUUAGAGUGUUCAAAGCAGGCCUUUGCUCGGAUAGUACAGCAUGGAAUAAUGGAAUAGGACGUAUGGUUCUAUUUUGUUGGUUUCUAGGACCGUCGUAAUGAUUAAUAGGGAUGGACGGGGUGUCAGGUAUGGUUACGUCAGAGGUGAAAUUCUUAGAUUGUAACCGGACCCACUGCUGCGAAAGCGUGACACAAGAACAUUCCCAUUAGUAAAGCACGAUAGUUAGAGGAGUUAAGAUGAUCAGAUACCGUCGUAGCUCUAACUGUAAACUAUGAUGACUAGGGAUGGGGCGAUGUUCACACGAACGCGCUCUGCACCUUAGCGAAAGUAAAGUUUUUGAUCUCUGGGGGGAGUAUGGUCGCAAGGCUGAAACUUAAAGGAAUUGACGGAAGGGCACCACCAGGAGUGGAGCCUGCGGCUUAAUUUGACUCAACACGGGACAGCUUACCAGGUCCAGACAUGAAAAGGAUUGACAAAUUGGAGAUUUCUCUUGAUCUCAUGGGUGGUGGUGCAUGGCCGUUUUUAGUCCUUGGAGUGAUUUGUCUGCUUAAUUGCGAUAACGGACGAGACCUUAACCUGCUAACUACAACCACCAACGUCAGUUGGUGCUGUUGUUCUUAGAGGGACUAUGGGGAACAACCCCAUGGAAGUUUGAGGCAACAACAGGUCUGUGAUGCCCUUAGACGUUCUGGGCCGCACGCGCGCUACACUGACGGAGCCAGCAAGUUACCUUGGCCGAGAGGCCUGGGCAAGCUCGUGAAACUCCGUCGUGCUGGGGAUAGAGCAUUGUAAUUUUUGCUCUUCAACGAGGAAUUCCUAGUAAGCGCAAGUCAUUAGCUUGCGUUGAUUACGUCCCUGCCCUUUGUACACACCGCCCGUCGUUACUAUCGAUGAAUGUUCAAUUGAGUUCUUAGGACGGCCACUACGGUUGGGGCAACCUGACUGCGGCGGCUGAAAUUUGUGCAAGUUUGGACAUUUAGAGAAAGUACAAGUCGUAACAAGGUUACUGUAGGUGAACCUGCAGUAG